AGAGUUUGAUCCUGGCUCAGAACGAACGCUGGCGGCAUGCUUAACACAUGCAAGUCGAACGGACUUAUGGGGCUUGCUCCAUAAGUUAGUGGCAGACGGGUGAGUAACGCGUGGGAAUGUACCUUUUGGUUCGGAAUAACUUCGGGAAACUGAAGCUAAUACCGGAUGAGCCCGUGAGGGGAAAGAUUUAUCGCCGAAAG
rnacentral:rRNA from 1 species